UUAAAAUUAUGCACAAAUAUUUUAGAUUUCCUUUCCGAAACACUCUCCAUGUCGGCGUAGUAUUGAUGCGGUGCCAAUUAAAAUUGAUUGAAAAUUCCCAGGAUUCCUCAGGCAUUCCUCAUGUGGCACGUGGGUCGCCGCCUCGAGAGCGGCAGCUGCUCCUCCUUGAUCCUUUCCUAUUAGCAUGCAGCAUUUGGCUUCUUUUGAAGUGUCUAGCAGUAGUUCUGCCACAGCUAUAGAUAGACUUCUGUGUCCACUGCUGUAUCUGCGUCGCCGCCUGGUCUCGACUUUCUGCUUGAAUGGCUUUUG
rnacentral:lncRNA from 1 species